AGAGGAAGUAAAAGUCGUAACAAGGUCUCCGUUGGUGAACCAGCGGAGGGAUCAUUACCGAGUUUUUAACUCUUAAACCAUAUGUGAACAUACCCUUUUAGCUGCUUUGGCAGGCUUGGUAAAAACAAGUCUGCCGGUAGUAUAUAAAAAAACUCUUUAAUAUUUCUACAGAAUUUAUUUCAUUGCUGAGUGGCAUAAAACAUAAUAAGUUAAAACUUUCAACAACGGAUCUCUUGGCUCUAGCAUCGAUGAAGAACGCAGCGAAAUGCGAUACGUAAUGUGAAUUGCAGAAUUCAGUGAAUCAUCGAAUCUUUGAACGCACAUUGCGCCUGGCAGUAUUCUGCCAGGCAUGCCUGUCCGAGCGUCAUUUCACCACUCAAGCUCUGCUUGGUGUUGGAGGACCCGCAUCUUGCGGGCCGCCGAAAUGCAUCGGCUGUUAUAUUUGCAGCUUCCCUGUGUAGUAAUAUUUAUUUUACGCUUUGAAACUCUUUUAUAACAUGCCGUAAAACCCAUCAAUAUAUAUAUAUGUAUUAUUUUUGAAAAGGUUGACCUCGGAUCAGGUAGGAAUACCCGCUGAACUUAAGCAUAUCAAUA
rnacentral:rRNA from 1 species